GUUGGGUAGGGGAGCGUUCUGUAAGCCUGUGAAGGUGUGUCGUGAGGCAUGCUGGAGGUAUCAGAAGUGCGAAUGCUGACAUAAGUAACGAUAAAGCGGGUGAAAAGCCCGCUCGCCGGAAGACCAAGGGUUCCUGUCCAACGUUAAUCGGGGCAGGGUGAGUCGACCCCUAAGGCGAGGCCGAAAGGCGUAGUCGAUGGGAAACGGGUUAAUAUUCCCGUACUUGGUGUUACUGCGAAGGGGGGACGGAGAAGGCUAUGUUGGCCGGGCGACGGUUGUCCCGGUUUAAGCGUGUAGGUGUGUGUUCCAGGUAAAUCCGGUUCACUU
rnacentral:rRNA from 1 species